rnacentral:rRNA from 1 species
AGUGAACGCUGGCGGUAGGCCUAACACAUGCAAGUCGAACGGCAGCACAGUAAGAGCUUGCUCUUACGGGUGGCGAGUGGCGGACGGGUGAGGAAUACAUCGGAAUCUACUUUUUCGUGGGGGAUAACGUAGGGAAACUUACGCUAAUACCGCAUACGACCUACGGGUGAAAGCAGGGGAUCUUCGGACCUUGCGCGAUUGAAUGAGCCGAUGUCGGAUUAGCUAGUUGGCGGGGUAAAGGCCCACCAAGGCGACGAUCCGUAGCUGGUCUGAGAGGAUGGUCAGCCACACUGGAACGGAGACACGGUCCAGACUCCUACGGGAGGCAGCAGUGUGGAAUAUUGGACAAUGGGCGCAAGCCUGAUCCAGCCAUACCGCGUGGGUGAAGAAGGCCUUCGGGUUGUAAAGCCCUUUUGUUGGGAAAGAAAAGCAGCAGGUUAAUACCCCGCUGUUCUGACGGUACCCAAAGAAUAAGCACCGGCUAACUUCGUG